GAGGGUAUAGCUCAGUGGUAGAGUGCAUGUGAGGUCCUGGGUUCAAUCCCUAGUACCUCCA
rnacentral:tRNA from 1 species